GUCCACAUAGGUUACCACAAAA
rnacentral:tRNA from 1 species